AUAUUUCUGUCCACCCUGUCAUUUGGGUGUAAACUGGCCCUUUAAGAAACUUACUCAAGUUUAAGGAAACUUGUUGUCUGCUUCCUGUCUUAUUUCAAUGGAGGCUGAAGCUGUGGCAGGUUGCCAGAAUGAGUUCAAAAGGAGCUGAGACAGCCCGAAGGUAUCGAGAACGCAGGAAUGCUGACCCACAGAGAAGAGAGCAAUACCUUGAGAAAGAGAGGGAGAAAUGGAAGAGAGACAGGGAGACUGGAAAGAAGAAGGGCAUCAAUGAGAUAAGUGAGAGAGAAAAACGGGCGAAAAGAAAGAAGUGGAGAGAGGCAAAACAAAAAGUCAGAGCCAGAAACAAGGCCAGUGCUUUGCAACAGUCGGAGACACCACCCGCGACACCACCCAGCUCCUCUACUGAAAAUCAGCCUGAGCCAGGGCCCUCCAGGCAACAGCGUCAAGGGGAAAGAAUUCGAAGGAAAACAAAGCAGAAACUGAAACAACGGAUUGAAGAAUUGGAG